AGGACGCAUGCGGAACACGGCCCGCCCUAGGCCUUCGCGAGAUUAGUCGCGCUGACUCAAUUUAAUCUUGACCCCUAUUCCUCCAUUUUGGUUCUCUCCCGGGCGCCGGGGAAGGGGCGUGGUCUAGAAUUAGCCCCUCCUGCGUGGGCGUGGCCUGGAUGGGCUACGGGAAGUGGCCGGUCAGACCAAAUUCCAAGUUACUACUCCUUCUUCCCCCUGCUUUGAAGGACCUUAAAAUCUUUGGCAAACAGUUAUUUACAGGUGGGGACAGCACCCCUAAACCGUGUGUGGGUGACGUCCGCCAAGGCCCGCCUCCCUCCUCCCGGCCUAUAGGAGCCGGGCGAGCAACGUUACCAUAGCAACGGGCCCACCGGGACCUGCUCGAGUUACAAGAAGGACGCGGGCUCCCGUGGGCAAAGUAUCCGGCGACCAUAGGCGUCGCCCAGCCUUCCGAAGAGCUCCAAGACUUGGCGGACGCUAAGCAGGGUCGGCAGAUUUUCGGUGCGAGAGCAACGGAGCCCAAGCCUAGCCUAGGAGGACUCUAAGACACCCCUACCCCCACCCUCCUUAAUAAGGCUCUUUGCCAGCGCCUGUCCUUGGCAUCAUUUAACCAGGCUGAGAUGCAUCGCUGCCUCGUGGCCUCCAGCAGUGCGAAAGAAGACAAAGCACUGAGCUCCUGCACGCGCCUACCAACUCCCGGUCCCGGA